AGGUGGUGAGGGGGCCACUGCUGUUUCUUUUUCAGGCAUUCCAAAGGCUGACAUUCAACUUACAAAUCAUACUUUCUCUAGGACGAUGAGCUGUCUGUACCUUAAUAGGAAUAUUUCCCAGACUCUGUGCUGUAAAAGAAGCAGAUUCAAAUGUGUUUGGCUGGUUUCAAUAUAUCGUGCGAACGUAAUGAAAUUAGUUGCACUGAAUUGUGUUCUGGGAAAUCUCCACAAUAAAAUCGCCAAGAGUCGGGUCGGCUUGACCAACCGGAUAACAUUAUCAUCAUCAAGGUUACUAAAGGAUUCCCAGGAUUGGAAUGUGUCAUGGAACAAUUUUUAUUAAGCAUGAAAUGAAAGAGAAAGCUCAACACAAUAAAAUAUGCAGUAGAACAACUACACAUCGAUAUAUUAGUUAUCAGUGAAUUGAGGUGGACUGGAAUUGAACAUAUUCAGUCAGGUGAUCAUACUGUUUGCUACUGUGCAUACUUGGCUGCAAUACAAUAAUAUCAAUUGGACUUUAUGCACAACUCUUUAAUAUAACAACUAUCCAGGUUUAUGAUGCAACCACUGAUACAGAAUAAGAUAGGGUUGGUGACUUUGAUAACAAGUUCAAUUUGAAAUUAAGCAUGCAAACAAGAUGUGCUCUUUAUGACUGGAACCUGGAAUGCUGCAGAAUUUAAAUAAUCUGGAUUCUAGAAUAUAUACUUGAACUGUGUAGUCUAGGACAGGCUGAGGAAUUCUGGGAGUUGAAGUCCAGAAGUCUUAAAGUUGCCAAGUUUGGAGACUCAUAGCCUAAGAAAACAAAAUGCAGCAGAACAACAGAAAGAAUCAGCAGAAAAUUCAUGGCACAUAGUCAAUUAAAAAGAGACCAGGCUACCAUGAAUUUAUAAGUUCUAGAUUCCUACAUUGUUGAGCUUUCAUUGGAGCUUCAACAGUAGUGUACAAUCAAAAGUUAGCAAUUCUGAUAUACCGUAGUUCAUGUUGACUUGAUUAAUUUGUUCUGAGAAAAUGGCACUACUAAUUAUUUAUAUUAAAAGUUCAGAUACUGACUUCAAACAUUGGCAUAUCCUGGGUUCUGAUUAUCUUAGUAAAUGCUGUGUGUGACCAGCCAUAUGCUAAAUAAAUAAAUCUUAGUAAACAUUAUUAAGAAAAUGUUUCAUGGCCUUAGGCUAAUGUUUUAAGCCUAAUUUUUAAUUAUAUAAAAAUUAGCUUCAUUGUAACACUUGCAUCUGAACAAAUAUAAACAAAAUUUGGUCUAUAAAUGUUAUUUGAUGGGAAAAGAUCACAGUAAACAUUUCUGGGACAAAAGAGUAAUGACUGUUCUUUAUUUUAACAAAUCCAGUAAAAACUAGCAGUCUUUAGUGAAUAAGUCACAUUAGGUAUAAGUUAAAUUAACCAAAUAAACAGAUGUAAGAUCAGGGCACAAAAAUGUAUC